GAUGAACGCUGGCGGCGUGCCUAACACAUGCAAGUCGAGCGAACGGACGAGAAGCUUGCUUCUCUGAUGUUAGCGGCGGACGGGUGAGUAACACGUGGAUAACCUACCUAUAAGACUGGGAUAACUUCGGGAAACCGUAGCUAAUACCGGAUAAUAUUUUGAACCGCAUGGUUCAAAAGUGAAAGACGGUCUUGCUGUCACUUAUAGAUGGAUCCGCGCUGCAUUAGCUAGUUGGUAAGGUAACGGCUUACCAAGGCAACGAUGCAUAGCCGACCUGAGAGGGUGAUCGGCGACACUGGAACUGAGACACGGUCCAGACUCCUACGGGAGGCAGCAGUAGGGAAUCUUCCGCAAUGGGCGAAAGCCUGACGGAGCAACGCCGCGUGAGUGAUGAAGGUCUUCGGAUCGUAAAACUCUGUUAUUAGGGAAGAACAUAUGUGUAAGUAACUGUGCACAUCUUGACGGUACCUAAUCAGAAAGCCACGGCUAACUACGUG
rnacentral:rRNA from 1 species